rnacentral:rRNA from 1 species
GGGACACGUGGUAUCCUGUCUGAAUAUGGGGGGACCAUCCUCCAAGGCUAAAUACUCCUGACUGACCGAUAGUGAACCAGUACCGUGAGGGAAAGGCGAAAAGAACCCCGGCGAGGGGAGUGAAAAAGAACCUGAAACCGUGUACGUACAAGCAGUGGGAGCACGCUUAGGCGUGUGACUGCGUACCUUUUGUAUAAUGGGUCAGCGACUUAUAUUCUGUAGCAAGGUUAACCGAAUAGGGGAGCCGAAGGGAAACCGAGUCUUAACUGGGCGUUAAGUUGCAGGGUAUAGACCCGAAACCCGGUGAUCUAGCCAUGGGCAGGUUGAAGGUUGGGUAACACUAACUGGAGGACCGAACCGACUAAUGUUGAAAAAUUAGCGGAUGACUUGUGGCUGGGGGUGAAAGGCCAAUCAAACCGGGAGAUAGCUGGUUCUCCCCGAAAGCUAUUUAGGUAGCGCCUCGUGAAUUCAUCUCCGGGGGUAGAGCACUGUUUCGGCAAGGGGGUCAUCCCGACUUACCAACCCGAUGCAAACUGCGAAUACCGGAGAAUGUUAUCACGGGAGACACACGGCGGGUGCUAACGUCCGUCGUGAAGAGGGAAACAACCCAGACCGCCAGCUAAGGUCCCAAAGUCAUGGUUAAGUGGGAAACGAUGUGGGAAGGCCCAGACAGCCAGGAUGUUGGCUUAGAAGCAGCCAUCAUUUAAAGAAAGCGUAAUAGCUCACUGGUCGAGUCGGCCUGCGCGGAAGAUGUAACGGGGCUAAACCAUGCACCGAAGCUGCGGCAGCGACGCUUAUGCGUUGUUGGGUAGGGGAGCGUUCUGUAAGCCUGUGAAGGUGUGCUGUGAGGCAUGCUGGAGGUAUCAGAAGUGCGAAUGCUGACAUAAGUAACGAUAAAGCGGGUGAAAAGCCCGCUCGCCGGAAGACCAAGGGUUCCUGUCCAACGUUAAUCGGGGCAGGGUGAGUCGACCCCUAAGGCGAGGCCGAAAGGCGUAGUCGAUGGGAAACAGGUUAAUAUUCCUGUACUUGGUGUUACUGCGAAGGGGGGACGGAGAAGGCUAUGUUGGCCGGGCGACGGUUGUCCCGGUUUAAGCGUGUAGGCUGGUUUUCCAGGCAAAUCCGGAAAAUCAAGGCUGAGGCGUGAUGACGAGGCACUACGGUGCUGAAGCAACAAAUGCCCUGCUUCCAGGAAAAGCCUCUAAGCAUCAGGUAACAUCAAAUCGUACCCCAAACCGACACAGGUGGUCA